CCAAUUUUAGGCUCUAUUGGGCAUCCAGAUAUCAAUACCAGUAAUUGGAUUGGAUCAUUUACAAGAUGUUACACCUUGAACCAGAUUUAUGCUGAUCAUUCGAUCCGUAGUCACCUUGCAAAUAAAACUUCCGCCGCUGUGACUUCUGGAGAUUUCAAAGAAGACCGUGAAGAAUGACAUCAGAUUUCAUGCUCUUGCCCCCUUUGCCGCGCCCUCUCAGGGUUACCUUGGCGACUGUGUUGCUAGGGAUUACACAGUGGGAGUUGUAAGGGCCAAAGAAGAUCAGAGCUUUGUCAUUCUCCAUUCAAAGGCAAUUGUCCCUGAAAAAUGUGAAGUGCUUCAAUAUCUGAAGACCUAGGCACUGACAUAAAGGCAGACAGCUACUCCAAGUAAAAACUCAUAAUUAACUUGGUGCUCACCACUGGAUCAUUCAUUAAUGGUUAUUUCAUGAAGUAGACAAUUCUCAGGCAUUCAUUGUGUAAUACCCACAGAACCAUUAAACA